rnacentral:rRNA from 1 species
UACAUGGGGUGCAAACGUUGCUCGGAAUUAUUGGGCGUAAAGCGCGCGUAGGCGGUUACUUAAGUCGGAUGUGAAAGCCCUCGGCUUAACUGAGGAAGUGCAUCCGAAACUGAGUAGCUAGAGUACGAAAGAGGGUCGCGGAAUUCCCGGUGUAGAGGUGAAAUUCGUAGAUAUUCGCAAGAACACCAGUGGCGAAGGCGGCUCACUGGCCCGGAACUGACGCUGAGGUGCGAAAGCGUGGGGAGCAAACAGG